GCCGGGGUGGUGAAAUUGGUAGACACGCUGGAUUCAAAAUCCAGUGGCUUCGGUCGUGCCGGUUCGACUCCGGCCCUCGGUACCA
rnacentral:tRNA from 2 species